rnacentral:rRNA from 2 species
CCGUUCCCAUUCCGAACACGGAAGUUAAGCCCUCUCGCGCCGAUGGUACUGCCGCAAGGUGGGAGAGUAGGUCGUCGCCAGAC